rnacentral:lncRNA from 10 species
UUGGCUCCAAAGCUACUGUCUUUUCACUGUGUUGAUUUUUCUCAGGAAGUGAAAUUCUGCUUCAUCGAUGAAUAACAGGAUUUUAUAUAAAACUUUGAAUGACAUAGGAGGGACAAUUUGCAUAGAACAACAAGUCCUCAAACUGGCCACAAGAAACUUCUGUACUUUUUCUCUCAAGGUCAUACAGCCCUGAAUCUGAUAGCAACAGAGCUUCAGCAAUAACAGCAGAUGCCAUCUUAGAUUAAUAUGAUGUCAGAAGUGGGAUCCAAAGUAGAGGUUCUAACGACCCCCAAGAACACUGAGUGACCAAACAAGGGCAGUUGCACAACCUGGAGGCUGGCAUCAUGGGGUCAUUUAGGAUUGAAUCUGAAGGAGCCGCUGUGGUGGAAAUGAAAUCCCUGCACAAAAGAAGCUGGGGCUGAACUAUCAUAUUCUCCUGGAAGUAGUGGUAGGAAAGAGAUAUUUAUUUUCGGGACCCAGUACCUCUGAACACUUAUUUUAGCUGUUUACUGCAGCUAUGCUUUCUUGAAAGAGAUAUGCAGGAAGGAUGGAAAAGUGUCUAUUAGCCUUUUAAUUUUCUCUUCUGAGAAAUUCCAAAAACUGUUUUUUUUUUUCAACUAAUCUAUGCAAUUAGCAUCGUUCACUUAGCUUCUCAGCUUACUUAGUGGACUUUUUCACUACAAAAAUAAUCAUAUCAAAAUUUAAUUUAUGAACAAUAAUUUGCUCCAUUUAAGUGUACAGUUCUGAAUUUUCACAAAUGUUUACACCCAUGUAACAAUUGUCAUGUUCAAAAUAGAAGGAGACUAUUUACAUCACCCCCACCCCUGCCCCGCAACAAAAUCUCUAUGCUCCUUCUCUGUCUAUUCUUCCUUCCCAGAACAUCUUAGCAAAUGCUGAUAAUGAUUUCUAUCACUAUGGAUAAAAUUAGUCUUUUCCUGAGUUUUCAUAGGUUUUUCUUGUCUGUUUCUUCCCCUGAAAGUUUGCAUUUAUAUCUAUGUUUUCUAUUUUUUAUUACAUUUUAAAAAAUAUUUAAUGUAUACUCAGUUUAAGAAUUAAUUAUUGAAAUUUAUUCCUUCUUCCCAAACAGUAAAGUAACAUAAAAUCAUUUAGCUCUGCACACAGUAUUUCAAAUGUAGAUAAUAUUAGGUCAAGCAUUUUUUUUUUUUUUUUUGGUAAGUCUUACUAUUUUAAACCUCCUUCUUAGUAUUGUUAUUGUUGUUAUUUUAUAUUUAGUCACUGAUAGAAUUUCUAAAUAUUUUUCAUCUUGCUUUUUUUCAUUAUUUCUUGCCUUGCAGACCUUCUUUCUGGGCUCAAAGCCUUCCUACCUAAAUCACAACUUUUAGAAUUUCUUUUAGUAGAGGCCUUUUGAUUAAAAAGAAAUUUUUUUUGAAAAUGUUUUUAUUUUAUCACUGCUUUUAACAGAUAGUUGAGCAUGGCAUAUGAUUUGUGAUUGACAGUUACUUUCCUUGAAAAUUGAAAACAUUUUUCUAUUGUCUAAUAGCCUCUAUUUUUAUGGUAAAAUACCUCUCAAUAAAAUCAUCAUUUCUCCAUAGAAAAACUUUUCUUUGCUCCCUCAGGUGCUUUUAUAAUCUUUGGCCUGCAAUGUUAUUUGAAGUGUGAAUGUCUUCUAAUUUUUCUGACUCAAUGUCAUUGGCUUUCCUGAGUAUGAAGAUUAAGGUUUAUCACCAGUUUGAAGAAAUGCUUAGUGAUUUUUAAAAAUCUACCCAGGUAUAUCAUAGAUCUUGUAGCCUAUGUGUCUCAUAAAAAUCCCUUUUCUUUAUUUAUCUCCCUUGCAUUCUGAAUAAUUUUGUCAAUUCUACUUACUAGUCCAUUAUUAUUUUAUUCCUUGGUGUCAAAUAUAAUGUUCUACCCAUGAUAUGCAUCUUUAAUUUCAAUACUAUAUUUCUGGAAGUUCUAUUUAAUUCUGUUUUGAGACCUCUAGCUAAGUUUUAAUACCUG